rnacentral:tRNA from 1 species
ACUCUCGUAGCUAAAAAGAAAAGCGCUGGCC